AAGGCCCUCUCCCACGCACACACAAAGCAUGCCUGUGAGGGUGGCAGGACCAAGAGAAGGGCCUCCUGCGAAGAUCUCAAAACCCAGGUUUGUAUGAGCGAAGGCAGUCUUUCAGAUAGCUUCAACCUAAACCAUAACCAACUCUUUGAAUAGUGCCUAGAAACCAGGGCAAGAUUUAGGUUUGAUGAGGUCCUUAGCUACUGAAGGCAAUGGGGACCUUUAUACGUCCAUCUGUCCUUUGUCAACAAAAAAUUGUCGCUGUUUUUUUGUGUUGAAUAUAUGCUAUAUGGUAAUUUAUGGACCUAAUCGGUAUCUAAAGCCAUUUGCACAUAAGAAAAGAUGUAUUUUAUCAAAGUAAUGGUUGAACUGAAAUGCAAUUAAGAAGUAUGUUAAUAGUGAAAAGGGACAUGGGUGGCACUGUGGGUUAAACCACAGAGCUCAGGCCUUGCCGAUCAGAAGAUCAGCUGUUCGAAUCCCCAUGAUAGGGUCAGCUCCCGUUGCUCGGUCCCUGCUCCUGCCAACCUAGCAGUUCGAAAGCACGUCAAAGUGCAAGUAGAUAAAUAGGUACCGCUGCAGCAGGAAGGUAAACGGCGUUUCCAUGUGCUGCUCUGGUUUGCCAGAAGCGGCUUAGUCCUGCUGGCCACAUGACCCGGAAGCUGUACGCUGGCUCCCUCAGCCAGUAAAGUGAGAUGAGCGCCGCAACCCCAGAGUCGGUCACAACUGGACCUAAUGGUCAGGGGUCCCUUUACCUUUACCUUUAUUUUAAUAGUGAAAUACACACUGCUGCUGUAUGUAGGUUUUAUUUGUUUUUUUACCUUAUAUUUUGGAAAUGUACAUUCAGGUUUUCUUUCCUUUACAUUUUUUGGGCGGGCCCCAGGAGAGUGGGGCCCUAAACUACAGCUUGUUUAACUUAUACGUAAAUCUGGCACUACUGGAAACAGACAGGUAGCCAGUCAAACUACUGUAGCAAAGGAGUCAUAUAGGUUGUAUAGGAACAAGGGAGUUCCUACAGAUGAGAUGCCCCUCCUGCCUAGUUUUCAUAGAUUAGGUGAGUCGAGUUUACCCUAUGAACUACACUGACUAGCAGAACCUCUGCACUAUUUCAGGCUAGGGUUUCAACCAGUCCUACCUACAGAUGCCUGGGACCUUCUGCAUUCAAAGUAGAAGCUCCACUGGAGAGCCAUGAGGUACAGUUCUACACAAGUACAGUGGUACCUCGGGUUAAGUACUUAAUUCAUUCUGGGGGUCCGUUCUUAACCUGAAACUGUUCUUAACCUGAAGCACCACUUUAGCUAAUGGGGCCUCCCGCUGCCACCACGCUGCCGGAGCACGAUUUCUGUUCUCAUCCUGAAGCAAAGUUCUUAACCCGAGGUACUAUUUCUGGGUUAGCAGAGUCUGUAAUCUGAAGCGUCUGUAACCUGAAGCAUAUGUAACCCGAGGUACCACUGUAUGUGACUGGAACCUGCAUCUGUUGUGUACUGUGUACAUAAACCCAGCCAGGGAGACACGUUUGCCAUCAAUCAAGCAUCUAUUCUGUGACUGUCUCAUAAAAGAAUGUGUCGAGGAGAGUUGCCUUCCCCUUUUGCCCCAAGCGAAACAGAAGUUUUUACCUGUCAACAGUGAUGUUUUCUCUCUCUCUCUCUUUCCUGGCUUGAAAAUGAACGGUGGUUUCCCCUCAGCCCGCCAAACUGAAGGCUUAGGGCUUUGGGUCUAUUGCUAUGAUCUCACUGCACUGCUUUAAUUGGGAGGCAAUAGAGACAAGGGGUAAGUUACCCUGGUGGGUGUUUUAACCACUCGCAUACCCAGAUGAAAAUGAGCAAGGGGGCAAAUUUGCCUCGUGGGGCCCAGAUAACAGCUCCGUUCAUUUCAAGCCAAAUUGGAUACACCCAGUGAGCCUCAAAGCCCCUUCCUGCCCACCCAUAUUUCUGUUCCAGGAAAGGAGGGAGGUCACUGCCCCACUUCUCCUGCUGGUAUCCUGCUGUGGCUGGAUUGUGCCAUGGGGCAUGCUGUCAUGGAUGCAACAUAGAUGCUGGCAGUGGGCAGGGGGAGAGGGAGACCACCUCCCUCUCUUUGAUUUCUGUCACGGUCCGAUCUACAGGCAAUCGAAAUCCCGGCUGAGGACAGGACCGGGGGCAAGAUGGUGGGGUGGGAGCAGGAAUGAAAGUCCAGAAGUCAGGGGUCCGAGGGUCAGGAAGCAGGGAGUCACGAAGUCAAGGGUCCGAGGGUCGAGAAGCAAGAAGCCAAAUGCAGCAAGGCAGGAAACAAGUUGCUGUGGCAAAGAGCCAAAGGGAAAUGCUGAACUUAUAUCCCUUCCUAGCUCUUGCCACCAGGUGCAGUGAGUUACCAAGUGACCUCACCUGUGCGGCCGCGCCACCUGCAUCGUUCUACCCGGACGCUGAGGUCCAGCACCGAGGGCCUUCUGGCUGUUCCUUCGCUGCGAGAAGCCAAGUUACACGAAACCAGGCAGAGGGCCUUCUUGGUAGUGGCACCCACCUUGUGGAACGCCCUCCCACCAGAUGUCAAAGAGAAAAAUAACUAAAUAACGUUUAGAAGACAUCUGAAGGCAGCCCUGUUUAGGGAAGCUUUUAAUGUUUAAUAGGUUAUUGUAUUUUAGUGUUUUGUUGGAAGCCGCCCAGAGUGGCUGGGGAAACCCAGCCAGCUUGGCGGGGUAUAAAUAAUAAAUUAUUAUUAUUAUUACCUCUCCAGAACAAACUUAGGAAGGCCCCAGUCCUGCAAAGCCCUAGUGGCUCUUGCACGCACUCCUGACAAUUUCAGUGCCACCACCGAGUGACAAUCACGGAGGAAAGGAGCACUUAAGUUGUUUUGCAGCUCAGAUUCCUUUAGAGUAGGGGUAGGGGCUUCCUUUUCACACAUCAAGGGCCAAACCAGCUCCUGGGGAACCUCCUGGGGGGCCACAUGCUAGCGGUAGGCAAAACUGGAACCAAAAGUGGGCAGAGCAACAACUGUAAACUUGACUGCUGUGCAGCAUAGCUCAGUGGUAGAGCAUCUGCCUUGCAAGCAGAAGGCCACGGGUUCAGUCCUCAGCAUCUCCAAGUAGAGUUGAGAGAAACUCCUGCCUGAAAUCUUGGAGAGCCGCUUCCAGGCAAUGCAGAGCUAGAUAGACCAAUGAACCGGAAGGCACUAUCCUGAGUUUCUAGACUAGCUUGUACGCACACUCACACACUUCUCUGUAUCCAGAAACAUUUGAAGAGGGCGCAAAGCAUGGUUGGAGAGGGAUAUAGCGCUGGAGAAAAUCAUGAGGUCCAGAUGGAGAGGAAAGUGGGGGCCAGACCCCUGGGUCUAAGGGUCCUCACCCUUGUAGAAGUCAGCAUUGCUCCCCUACCAGAGAGGAAUGGCAAGUUAAGCUGAUGGACUAUGCUGAAAUGGCACCGCUGACUGGAAAACUCAGGAACCAACAGGACAAAACCUUUAAAAAAGAAUGGGGGGGGGAUUAUAAUAUAUCUAGGAGACCACUGCAAGCAGAUGGAAACAUUAGCAGGAUUUGAAACCCACUUCUAAUGUAACAAAUACUAUGGAUUGAUUUAAAAUAUAGAAUAUGGAAUAAUAUGCAGCUGUAAAUGUUGACAAUAGGACCCGUGGAGGGGAUGGGGGGAAGUCUGGAGAUUCAGAGUAAUCUCUAGAUAUGGAUAUGCAUUUGGAAUGUUACAAAUUUGUAUUUGUAACAUCAAAUAUAAAUGAUUUCGAGAAAAAAGAAGAAGUCAGCAUUGUUCGCCUUGUAUUUGAAGCAGCUCCUGAAAGUGCUUGAAGUCUGUCUUUCCAAGCCAGGCGACAUUCAGCAACAUCAGUGAUAACACACCAACACCAACAAUAAUAACAGUGACACUCUCUGGUGCUUUUAAGCAGCCUUCUCCCACCAGCUAUCACUUUCUGACCACCCCUGACACAUUUGCAAUGGCUCGCCCCUCCUCUCCUUCUGCUGUAUCGAUUCACUCUGCAAUAGCCUGCCUUGCACAGCCUUCUGAAGCAGGGUGUGUUACUAUGCUGGCCAAAAGACUUUCCUUUUUAAUAGAAUAUUUAAUAGAAUGUUUAAUCUCCAAAUGGAUCUCUGGCUGCACUUAUUCCAGAAUGGCUGAAACUCAAACACAUUCAGCAACAUUUACUAUCUGAAGAGGCAUUUAUGGGGAGGGAUGUAAGGGAAGAAUCAACCCGGCCAUCACCUGGGUGUAGCCCCACAAUUUAAUAGCCAAGAGGGUGUUAUUCUUUUGCUUAAAGGUAUGGUAGAAAAGAGAGAGAGAGCAUUGUCUUAUUGUAGGCUGCCUUAUAGUACAUGUCCAAAUGAAUAUCAUCAGCUGCAGCCUGAGCUUAAAGAAGGGUGGGGAACCUUCUGUCUAAAUUCUAACAGAUGCCUGACCUCUGUUGUCUGUGCUCUGGUAACCUGUAGGUUGGACUACUGCCUUUGAAGAUGGUUCAGAAACUGCAACUGGUACAAAAUUCAGCAGCCAGAUUGUUAACCAGGGUAGGACAGAUGGAACACAAAAAACCAAUUCUGGCACAAAUGCGUCAUUUAACCAUUAGCUUCCCAGCUUAAUUCAAAGGGCAGGGUUUGACCUAUAAAGCCUCAUGACCCAAAUACCUUAAGGACCACUUCUUCCCAUGUGAGGCAACAUCAAGCCCUGAAAUUGCCAUCUGAGACCCUUUUUCGUGUUCCCCUUCCAUCAGAGAUUCUGAGGAGGGCAGCAUGGCUGCAUAUGGCGCAAGGGAUAAAUGUUGCCCAGGUCUUUCAAGCAGCUGACAAAUAGUUGAGCCUGGUAAAGAGACCCCUGACCAUUAGGUCCAGUCGUGACCGACUCUGGGGUUGCGGCGCUCAUCUCACUUUAUUGGCCAAGGGAGCCGGCGUACAGCUUCCGGGUCAUGUGGCCAGCAUGACUAAGCCGCUUCUGGCGAACCAGAGCAGCGCAUGGAAACGCCGUUUACCUUCCAGCUGGAGCGGUACCUAUUUAUCUACUUGCACUUUGACGUGCUUUCAAACUGCUAGGUUGGCAGGAGCAGGGACCAAGCAACGGGAGCUCACCCCGUUGCGGGGAUUCGAACCGCUGACCUUCUGAUCGGCAAGUCCUAGGCUCUGUGGUUUAACCCACAGUGCCACCUGCGUCCCUAGUUGAGCCUGACUUGAUUGCUAAAGACAAAGAGAUGGACUUCAGAAUCUGGUUAUGCUGCUGAAUUACCAAGAGGAGACUAAAGGUAGAAAACUAUAGAAUAAGGAACAGAGAAAAGGGAGGGGGCACCACCUGGAAUAGUAAAUGGCUUGUGCCCAGCCCAACAAUCCAGGCUGACAAAAUGUUAUUGCAGGGGUCACUUUCCUUGCUGCUGUUCCUUUUGGAAAGUCAGGGAGAGAUUUAUUAUGUCUGAAAGUCUCCGCAGCUUGUCAGAUCUAAGCGCUAAGAAAAAUAGGAGCUUACAUUAGAACUGGAAGCUCAGGUUUUGACUGCAAGCAGGAGCAGACAUCUAUAGCUGACUCAUCUGAAACCAAGCAAGGAAUCGUCUUCCUUCAAGAUCACUUCCACUACACAAAAACAAAAAUCAGUUUGGGUUUACUGUUUUUGUUGGGGAGUGUGUAUCCAGGUGUGCAUGUUAACUGGAUGCCUAUGCAGAUAACAUGUUAUUCAGUAACAGAGAUGCCAUCAAGACUGAGGGGGUCUGGUGACUGCUUGGCCUUCUCUGCCCCCUCAACAUUGAGGGGACCUGGGGCCCUGCCAACAGAUAUUGAGGGGGCCAAAGAAACACUGGCUCUAUAGAGUUUGCACACCUGUCCAGGAAUUUGCUACUAUCUGAUUAGCUCCUAUAUAUGGGAAGGAAAAGCCCCAAAUGGCCAUCUCACACUUGAAAAGCAUUGGGCUUUGUGUAUAUGCCUGGUAUUCCGGAUAUGCAAGAGAAGCAGGCGUGGGUCUCCAGAACAUGGCAAAUCAACAGAAAAUGCCCUAUGUAUUAGCACAAAAAAACUUGUAAGAAUAUCAUAUGAGCACUGAUCCAGAGCAUAUUUCCUACAGCGUUUAUAUUUACUUACAUCUUGUUAAGAAACUGAACUGCAUCCUUCUCAUAUUAAUUCUUACAAGUGUGGCUGAUGAAGAAUUGAUCAAGACUGGCUGAUGAAGCAUUGAACGAAACAGAUUGGUUAUCAGGAAACUCUGUUCCGGUGAUAUUUGGUGACAGAUUAUGUAUAAAUCAAACUCUUGAAUUAUUCCACUGCAUCUGCUAAAGAAGAUUUAGAGACUUUAGAUGCAUUUUCUGAUCAUUUGUAUUAGUCUAUACAUAGUGUUUAGUGCCAUUGUUAUUGGCCAUCGUGUUGUGUUAUUUUGUUUAGCUUAGCUGAGAUGCCGGCUGUGAUGGCCUGGGAUUCAGACUUGGAGGCUGAACCUGAGGGAUCCCAGCCUGCACAGGAUUCCCCACCUCCAGAACCAGCUGAACCGGGGCUGGGGCAUGAGCCUGAAGGGUCCUCACCUGUGCUGGAUCCUCAGGUGCAGGCAUCAGCUGAGUCUGCUCUGGCUCCUGAGGUGAUGGAGGACCCAUUGCCUGCAGGUGCUCCACUCUCAGCCCCAUCAGAGGAAGCUGAGGUUGCCUCUGGGUCCGGUAACCCUCCAUCCUCUCCUGAGCUGCAGAGACUCAAGGCAGAGAGGCGGAGGGAACUAAGUUCCCGCAGGAGGAGUGCUCACCUCCAGGCCAGGAGAGGCGAGUCACCAGAGGAUCAGGGCAGAUAAAAGCCAGCCAGCCAGCCCCAGUCCCAAGUUGCGGGAGCAACAUUGUUGGUUGCUAGUUCCUGCCUGAACCCUGUCCUGCUUUUCUGCCUGAGCUCCUGACCCACCCAGGCUCCCUGCUUGCAAGCCUGUUCCUGACUUCACCCGACUCCCUGCCCUGCACCCAGCUUCAGCUGCUAUGGACUGCCUCCACAUUGCACCUUUGACCAUGGACCGGACUUGGACCUCGCCUCUUGGGUAACCUAGGGGACCAGCACACCAGCAUUGCAGGGGGUUUGAGUAGAUGACACUUGGGGUCCCUUCCAACUCUACAAUUCUAUGAUUAUUUAUAUGCCACCCAUGUGACUGGGUUGCCCCAGCCACUCUGGGCGGCUUCCAGCAAAAUAUAAAACCACAAUAAAGCAUCAAACAUUAAAAACUCCCCGGUACAUGUACAUGGAUACAAUCCAGGAAGGAUCAACAUGGAGGUGAUAGUUCAUGUUAAACCUUACGCAUCGUCCUUUUGUGUGCAAAGGGCCACAUCCAGAAGCAAUGUCUCUCUGAAUGUGUAUCUUAUUCUAUCUGAACCCUGCCUUCCCCAGAUUGGAGCAAAACUCCAUGUCCCUAUAGUAUCUCAUUCAUGAUCAACUAAAAAAUGUCACCCAGUGGCCUUACCAUCAAUACUAAUUGGGAGCAUUUCUCGAGAGGAUGCAGAAGGAGUGGGCAUCCCACAAAUCACGUUGUAACUCGCUCUGAUAGUGUUGCCAUAAAUACUGUGGGAAGCACAAGUGGGCUAGGGAAGCAUGACCUUUCAGCAACGCUUAAACAAAUUGUUGUUGACAGUGUUCUUUUACAAGGAACAGGCUAGGAUUUAUAGCGGCUCGACAGCCCAUUGGGAAAUGUUCUGUGCUUCCCCUGUCUUACAUGCAGGAAAGACCCCCACAUAACUGUGCGGUGACCACAACGUUUCCUUUCAAGACUGCACAUUUGUGAAAGAGGAAUAGUCAUCUGGUGUGAGUAGCAUAUAUAAUUUUAUAGAUGUGCAGGACUGAAAAGACAAAUAAGCUUUGCUCGUAUUGAGUUUGACUGGAAGUGAGUCUAAUCAGUUUCCCUAGAACCAAAGAAACAGCCCAGCUUAUGGUUACUAGAUGUCCCCGUUUCCUGGGGACAGUCCCCAGAUUUACUACUCUGUCCCUGGACAAAAUCUGUCCCUGGAAUGUCCCCGGAUUUCAUUUAAUGUCCCCAGAUUUAUAUUUUAAGUGUUGUAGAUUUAUUAAUAGGGAAUGAAUGUUGUGUGAUUGGUUCAAUGGCACAAGACACAUCACAUGGGGAGUUCCGGUGAGGCAAAAUGGCGGGUGCCAUGGUAGCGAGCAGCUCCUGAAGUCAGCCAGAGCCAACUGCGCUAUGAGGCUGGCUCCAAGCUGCUGAGACCGCUGCUGCUGCUGCUGCCACUGCCACUGCCACUGCUAAGAGGGAACCAGGGACGCCCAGCACAUCAACUGGGGGAAUUACUGAUCCCCCUCCCCGAACCCAUAUCAAGUCAGGAGCGAGAGCGCCUAGCUUCCCGGCUGACUGCCCAGCGGCACUCCAGGACCAGUAAAAAAACCCAGAGCUGACACAGUGAGAAGGAGGAGAGGAGAAGGAAAAGGAAGAGAGAGAAAGAGAAAAGAGAAAAAAGAGGGGAGCCCCGACCUUUCCAUGCUGCUGCUGCCGCUGCCGCUGAGGAGGGGGGGUAGGAGAACACCAGGAGGACAAGGACACAUGGCCGAGUCCAGGACCGACCCGAGCCUCCGCCAUGGUGGCUAGCGCUCCAAGAGAGCAGACCAGGGCCUAGAGGAAGGCCGUGCGAUAGAGGAGACCACAGAAGAGAGUGUAUUACUUCUUAAGUUGUUUUUUUUUUAAAAAAAAAAAUUAAAUUCUUUUUGGGGGGAAAAAGUGUCCUCGGAUUCUUUGAAAAAAAUCUGGUAACCUUAGCCCAGCUCAUUUUGGAGCCCUUGAGAUCCACUAAGCCUGCAUUCAGACAGCACUUUAGUCAAUCUUAACAAUGUUUCCUUACCAGUUCAUUUUCACAUUUUAGCCGUUCUUUCACAUAAUGCAAAAAAAAAACCCAACAACAAAAAACCAACAACAACCCACUUCUGGGAAUCUAACAGAACUUUAGCACUCAUUUCUCCGAAUCCAUUUGCAACCUCAUUUAAAUCACAGGAGUUUUGCUUUGACAAAAUGUAGGGUAACAUAAAAUUCUUUCCCACAAUUUAGAAUUUAGCGGAGCGCCGUCCUGUAACACAACAAGGCACUGCAGUGUAAAAAGGAAUGUUAGAAAUCAGGAAAGAAGCAGUAUAAAAACACAAUAAAACAUUUUUUAAAAAAAUUCCUUCCCUAUACAGGGCUGCCUUCAGACAACUUCUAAAGGUUAUAUAAUUACUCAUCUCCUUGGCUCGGGGGUUGCAUAACUCCAUACCUUCCAACAUUUCUCUGAUGAAAACAGGGAUGUCCUAAGCAUGAGCAGGGGACGGGGGGCAGCUAAAUCCCCCCUAAAGUAAAUAAAUGGAAAAAAUUAACUAACUGACCAAUCACGUCACAGAUAGCUCAGUUCUGCCUCACCCUCAACAAAAGUCCCCCCAUCCAAACAUAAAUCCUAGCUAUGCCCAUGGUCCUAAGGAAAAGCAGGACAUUGCAGCAUCCAGUCAGAAACCAGGGACAGUUUCUGUAAAUUCAGGACUGACCCUGGAAAACAGUGACACUUAGAGGGGCUGAUAUUUUGGCAUCACACAAUGCCACUGUUCUUGGUGCUAAGGCAUUUUUUCAAAGUACAGUAGCAGGAACUAUACAGAGGGAGGUUGCCGGGUGAAUCUUCCUUAACAGAGCAAGUUAGUUGUGGUUGUUUAGUCGUGUCCGACUCUUCGUGACCCCAUGGACCAGAGCACGCCAGGCACUCCUGUCUUCCACUGCCUCCUGCAGUUUAGUCAAACUCAUGCUGCUAGCUUCAAGAACACUGCCCAUCCAUCUCGUCCUCCAUCAUCCCCUUCUCCUUGUGCCCUCCAUCUUUCCCAACAUCAGGGUCUUUUCCAGGGAGUCUUCUCUUCUCAUGAGGUGGCCAAAGUAUUGGAGUCUCAGCUUCAGGAUCUGUUCUUCCAGUGAGCACUGAUUUCCUUAAGAAUGGAUAGGUUUGAUCUUCUUGCAGUCCAUGGGACUCUCAAGGGUCUCCUCCAGCACCUUAAUUCAAAAGCAUCCAUUCUUCAGCGAUCAGCCUUCUUUAUGGUCCAGCUCUCACUUCCAUACAUCACUACUGGGAAAACCAUAGCUUUAACUAUACGGACCUUUGUUGGCAAGGUGAUGUCUCUGCUUUUUAAGAUGUUGUCUAUGUUAGUAGCCACCACAAAAAAGCCCUUCUCCACAGCCUACUUGAUAUCACUUCAGUAAAUGGAGGAACAAUGAAAAAAAAGUCAAACCCACUGUUUUCCAGAAACUGGGAACAUUGCUCUGUAAGACAUUUGACUUUGGCUUAUAUGUUGUGGUUGCCAUCCAUGGACAACGGGGUUACUGAAAAUGGCGGUUAAAUUUUCUGCUGAGCGUUUUUGCCCGGCUUUUCAUCUCACAAUGGGCAGGCUUCCUUUUAGUUUUUAUUUCCAGCGUUGAAAUGAAGGGAAAAGAAGAGAGGCAGCGAGGGGAGAAUGGAUGAGAGAAUGUGACUUGUCUGAGGACGUGCAACUAAGAAGAGGAAAUAAAUGUUUCAUGAGCAUGUCUUGGAAGUAUCUUGUGUCGAGAUACUUAGGACAAGAGACGGCAUGUCUUACAAACACUGUGAGGAACAGUGGUACGUUCGACUGUAUGAGAAAAUUUGGGCAGAGGAGGGAAUCAGGAGCUGUGUUUAUUUGCUUUUCCCCCUCCCCCAACCCCGCUCUGUGUUACGAAACAAAUCUCUUUCUUUGCUCUAAAAGGUGGAGAGGAAAAGUAGAGAAGGGAGUACCAAAAGCCAAGACUGUACGGCAGUGAGCAAAGGAACAGGCGACGAGGGAUUAUUUUACACUCUUCCCCGUGGGGAAUUAUCUGCCUCCAUUCUAUAGCAUCUUUGUUUGUCCUUCCCCUGCUUAUGUGGUUUACACAUAGAGUGGGCUUUGUCUCUCUGCCGAAAACUGUUAUCAUGUUACCUUUAAAAUUUGGCAUUCAGCAAGGGGGGGGGGUCAAUGGUGCCACUCUUUGGAUAGCAUGGAUGACUUCAUUAGCGAAAUAGAACUGUGGGAACAAAUUCUCUCAAUAACCUUCAAGCACAAAAGAGAGAGAGAUUUCUUAUUUAAAAAGGGAAAAGUGCAUUCAUCUUAAUAUGCAUGCUAGUUAUAGAACAUUUCAAGAAACAUUUAUUGUGCUUUGCCAAACUGGAUCAGCAGUAUUAGUUCUAUGAAUCACUUGCAGAAUAUAAUGCAACUUGUAUUCUGUGUUUUGACUUUCUUUACAAACAACCAGACCUGCAAGGAAGAUGUUGAGACUCUGGCCACGAUCUGUUUCUUGCAGAGUUGUCCCAUCAGUGGAACUGCCAUCAAGGGUGUUGACGAUGCCACAGCUAUGGGAAUGGACAAAUCUGUCAAAAUUGGUUUUCCAGUUUUGCAGACUUAAGUACAACUUGCCAUUUCCCCCCAUCAGUUUGCCUGUGGUCCUCAGGACUAUUUCUCUGCGUUUAAGUGUUCAUUUAUCCAAACAUGCACAUUUUUGCAUGCAAUCAGUAUACAAAUUUUACAAGCAACCCCCCUCCAAGAAUGCAGUUUUGUAUGUUAUUUUCAUUAAGGCGAACAUUUUUGUGUACACAUCACCCUAAUAUGCACACAUUUUUGGGUCGGAGAGCUGUGUUGCAGAAUUUCAGAGAAGUGCACAUUUUGAAGGAUGGCUGCAUUUCCAUUUGUGCACUGAAAUGUGAAUUCAGUAAAAUAUGAACCCAACAAAUUUCUCCCCCAUUCCUACAUACCAC